rnacentral:rRNA from 1 species
ACGCCUAACACAUGCAAGUCGAACGCAGUAGCAAUACUGAGUGGCAAACGGGUGAGUAAUAUGUGGGAAUCUGCCUUUUGGUUUGGAAUAACACGGGGAAACUUGUGCUAAUACCGAAUAAGCCCUUACGGGGAAAGUUUUAAUGCCGAAAGAUGAGCCCGCACUUGAUUAGCUAGUUGGUAAGGUAAAAGCUUACCAAGGCAACGAUCAAUAGCUGUUCUUAGAGGAAGACCAGCCACAUUGGGACUGAGACACGGCCCAGACUCCUACGGGAGGCAGCAGUGGGGAAUCUUGCACAAUGGGGGAAACCCUGAUGCAGCGAUGCCGCGUGAGUGAAGAAGGCCCUUGGGUUGUAAAACUCUUUCGUCGGGGAAGAAAAUGACUGUACCCGAAUAAGAAGGUCCGGC